GUGCUCGCUUGGGCAGCACAUACACUAAAAUUGGAAUAAUACAGAGAAGAUUAGCACGGCCCCUGAGCAAGGAGGACAAGCAAAUUUGUGAAGCAUCCCAUAUUUUU